UGAGGAAUAUUGGACAAUGGGCGCAAGCCUGAUCCAGCCAUGCCGCGUGCAGGAAGAAGCAUCUAUGGUGUGUAAACUGCUUUUGUACGGGAAGAAACACUCCUUCGUGAAGGAGCUUGACGGUACCGUAAGAAUAAGGAUCGGCUAACUCCGUGCCAGCAGCCGCGGUAAUACGGAGGAUCCAAGCGUUAUCCGGAAUCAUUGGGUUUAAAGGGUCCGUAGGCGGUUUAGUAAGUCAGUGGUGAAAGCCCAUCGCUCAACGAUGGAACGGCCAUUGAUACUGCUAGACUUGAAUUACAAGGAAGUAACUAGAAUAUGUAGUGUAGCGGUGAAAUGCUUAGAUAUUACAUGGUAUACCAAUUGCGAAGGCAGGUUACUACUUGUGGAUUGACGCUGAUGGACGAAAGCGUGAGGAGCGAACA
rnacentral:rRNA from 1 species